AAUGAAUUGCCUGAUUAAAAGGAUUACCUUGAUAGGGUAAACUAUAAAGAACUUUCUUUAUUCAUUA
rnacentral:tRNA from 1 species